rnacentral:lncRNA from 1 species
CAUGUGUACAAGGCUGUUUGAUAACACAGGGUUUCUCAGCCGCGUGCUCUCAUUUGCUUGUCUAACCAUUGCCAUUAUUAUUUUAGAGUAAUUAUAAUUUACCUGUACAAAUUAGGUGGGUAAGAGGAAGGAUUCGAUGUCAUAGAAGGAGCACGCUGACCGGAAUUAAAUGGAAAAUUCCAAGGAGGAGUUCUUAAAGCAAUUGUGUAACACUUAAUUGUCUAAUAUAAAGUGUAAUUUCCCAAAAGACACCGUAUUAGCCUUCUGGUGGUUAGCUAUUACAUUUGGUCCUUUUAAAAUCACUUUGAGCUACUUAAAUACAGAUUUAAAAAGGGAUCAAACUUUUUCCCCUACUAAUAAUGCCAAGUGCUUUUCUCAUAGCUUAUUCAUCUUCAAAGUUCUUCACCAACAUUAGCUAAUUAUUCUUUUUUCUAAUUAGCAGAAAUUGACUGUGGUCAAAAGGGCCAUUCAGCCAAUUAGCACAGUUCUACCUUCAAAUCUCCAAGCUUCUGACCCAGAGCUUUCAAGUGGCUGAUGAAGAUAUCAUAAAGCGGUUGUGCUGAGCCUAUAUUAAAGGCAGCCAACUGGAGAAAAAGAAAGGAAAAAAAAAAACAACAAAAAAACCCAAACAUGUAAAGGAAGUGUAUCAAAUCUUCUCAUUCGCAGCUUUCCCCAGAGGCGCCAGCAUGGAGAAUGCAGGGCGGGAUGCAGGGGUCCUGCUGCCCUGCGCGCAGCUGCAUGAAACGCGGUGCAGGUGGGGUUACCCAAGCCUUGUCUGAAGGCACAGAGGCAUGUGGGGCUCAUGGUGGCCACCUGUUCAGGGGCUGCUUUUGUUCCUGCAUGCUUUUUCACACUGGAUGUGGCCGGGGUCACGCGGGUGUUACUCAAGCGGUGGCAGCGUCCCGCUCAGCAGAAUCCCUGCUCUGGGUCAGAACUGUCUGUAUUAAUAACAAGUACCUCCACUUGGAAAUUAUUUACAUGAAACAUUGUUCUCACGUCACUGCCACUGACAGCGGCUCCGGACUGGGUGAGAGAAGGACACCGUGAUGAAUUCACCCAUGUGCUGCGUGAGACAAGGAGAGCUGGAGGACUUCAGAGCAAGUUUAAAACCUUAAUCCCUGAAUAAUGCCUCCACCUGCCUCCUGGUUUUCUUUGGGGACCUUCCAGCA